CUGACAGAUGUGAAGAUUCCAGCCCUCAAUUUAUUUAUCCGCAGAACAAAUAGAGUGGAAACUGUGGCAAAACACAGAUUUCCGCACGGCUUUUCCACUGCCGGUUGCACCCCUGACCCGGGGAGACCUUUUCGGAGUGGGUGAGGGGGUUGCACAGUCUCCAGCCCUGUUCAGACUCAUUUUCUCCA
ensembl:misc_RNA